CUGUGAAAUCAUGUGAACACAUAGCGCCCAUCCCUUCUGCUGAUGGAGUAUAAAAACUGUGAACACUGAGCGCUCGCUGCUCUUCCUCAUCCUCAUCCUCAGUAUCCCAGAGCUUCCUGAACAACAACAGAGAACUAAUAAACUGCUCCAUCCUGAAGCUGCUGUGAAGCUGUUACCAUGGCAACGCUUUGGUUGUCAUGGCAAUCAGGGGAGCCCACAGCAGCUGCUCUCUCUCUCUGUCUCUAACUCCUCAGAGAGACAGAAACAUUUAAAAUGAAUCCCCUCGAACCCAUGGCCAUAUGUGUCAUAUAUUCAGCCUGUGCAAGGUGUGCAUACAUACAUACUGUAAUAUAUAUACACAAUAUAUAUAAUAUGUACACAUAUAUACACACACAAGAUAUGAUAUGAUAUAUAGCAUAUGUAUAAUAGAUACUUGACAGACAGACAGACAGACAGACAGACAGACAGCCUUCCAGUUCCAUUGACAUCCUCUCAUACACCAUACUGUAUGGCUUCAUAUAAAAUUAGUAUUCCCUUCAAUAGUAACUGUUACUCAACUGAAGACACAGAUAAUGUACUUUAUGGACCAAACUAUAUGUGUCAAAGCUUGUCAGUAGUUUUCAGGAUAACUUUCAGUUGUGUGUGUACAUGUAUAGAUUCAAUUCAAUUUUUCAAUUCAAUUUUAUUUGUAUAGCGCCAAUUCAUAACAGAAGUUAUCUCAGGACACUUUUCAAAUAGAGCAGGUCUAGACCGAACUCUUUAUAACAUUAAUUACAGAGACCCAACAGUACCACCAUGAGCAAGACCUUGGAGACAAGGGCAAGGAAAAACUGCCUGUUAAAAGGCAGAAACCUAGGACAGAUCCUCCGGCUCUAGGUGGAUGGUCGUCUGUCUCGACCAGUUGGGGUGAGAGAGAGAGAGAGAGACAGAGAGAGAGACAGAGAGAGAGAAAGAGAGAGAGAGACAGACAGACAGACAGACAGACAGACAGACAGGUGCACAGUAACAACAGUAUUGGCAAUGGCAGUCUAGCAGGACCAUGGCAGGAGGCUCCACCAGGAUCCAUGAGAACCUGCGAGACGAGAAAGCACAAGAACUCCGGGGAAGAAGUGAAGUUAGUAACAUGCAUUAAUGGAACAUGAGUGAGUGCAGAAAGAGAGAGGAAGAGAGGAGCUCAGUGCACCAUGGGAAAUCCCCCGAUAGUCUAGGCCUAUAGCAGCAUAACUAAGGGAUGGUUCAGGACUCACCUGAUC